rnacentral:misc_RNA from 1 species
AAUUUUUUAUCAAAAAAUUUUUUUUUAUUGAUAUUGAUAAUGUUAUUGUUUCUAUUAAUAAUUUUAAAUGAAGUUUUCUACCUAUAUUAGGAGGUAAAUUAUGUGAUAGGUAAAAGAUUAAGGACUUGUAGAUGUAUUUUCAAUAAUUUAAACCCUUUAUAAUAGAAAUUGUACAUGUUGUAGUGCAAGUAAUGUUUAAAACAACUUUUUAUAUAUUUAAAAUAGCAAUUAGGGUAUUUUAGUAAUCUUCAUAU